UUCCUUUAUCAUCUGUCUCGGAAUUCAUGCAGCCUCCAGUCUCUCUCGGGUCCUUCACAUAGGUCUUAACGUGUGGGCACCAAGCCCAGGAGGCACCAUACCGAUCCGUCCACGCCUGUGUCGGGUCCUGUGCUAAGUGUGUUUUGGGGUUGAUGCUGCAUUCGGAUCAUACGGAUCUGAUUCCUGUGACAGAAGCAACAGCCAUCAAAUAGCAAUUAGCAGCUCUCAGCAGCGAGAGUGCAACAGUCCCCUGGGGUGGGGGUUCACUGGUCUUUGGGAAACCAUGACGCUCUUAUCCCACACUCCAGUGACAUAGGGCUUAAGUCACAGAAGUCACUGUCCAGCCUACAGCUGGUCACAAUAGCCUGAGCAGACUGAGAACUUUGCUUGGAAAGCUCUGGUCCCUCUACAAGUGGGCCUUAGAGGCCUGGGUUCUGUCUUCCUCUUCCAUUCAGGGGUAUGGGAGAAAACUGACCAAGGACACUGGGAUUGCUAUCUUUCCUUCGGGACCUAGAUGCUUAAGAGAAAGGGACAAAGCAGCCUUCAGUGUGGGGAAGGCGUCUCGGUGCCAAGCCAUCACCUGUGGAGGAAGGAAGCGGGACACUUAGAGCCAUCUGCUAGCCUGAAGCAGCCAAUAGGCAAGGUGAACUCCAGACGGACUGAGGACUCCCCACUUCCUCUCCAGGCUCCUGUUGUGAGACUCCUCCCUGGAGCAGACAUAAACAAUGUCUACCUUCUCCUCAUAAGGCCCCAACUACAAUCUAUGGUUCCACCAGAGUUCAUCUUAGGGAUUUACUCCCAGAACAUGAAUGAGGGGUUACUGACAGAAGCAUGAGUGACCCCAAAGCAACCAUACCACCAAGUCUCCACCUAGUAUUGAUGGCGGCUUCCCCAAAUUGACAGAGAUAGAGCCCUUCCAGCUAACCUUCCCCAGCUUACACUCUAGCACCUCCAGAGAC